AAUCACUCGUUUUAUUCUUUGUAUUUAUUUAACUUAAAAAUAACCUUCAGGUCCUUCACCAGUACGUGAUAUUGGAUUCAAAAUGGUAAGUAUAUGAAGAUUCGAAAUGGGGGUAAACUGAUAAAGUUCAUGUAUGUAGCCCGCAAGUGCAUUGACCAUGACAAAGAAAUGAGCAGCACACCACGAAUAUUUUACACGUGAGUGUAAGUGUAGUGUACUAGUCUUUCAUGCUUUUGUUGGGGUCCUUGUACUUGAAGAAGUUGAAAGUGAUGGAAAUUGUAUCCACUCAUCAAUAGCCACAUUCACAUCCCAAAAUAGAGCAUUGCUCUCUCGAAGCAUAUAGCGAGAGAAUAUACCAUGCCAUACUAAUUAGGGGUGUUUCUUUUAAGGUUAAGAAUGACAUUCCCGGGAAUACAUGGUUAGGGAAUGAUUAUAUCCAUGUUUGUUAUGAGGUUGAGAAAAAUAUAUUCCUGGAUAUAAAGGUUCCUGGGAAUGGAGUAACUUCCCAUAACUUUCAUUAUUCCCAUAAAUUUAUUUCCAUGUAAAGAGACGGGAAUGUGCAUUCCCAUGAUAUUACGCAUAGAUUUAAAAAAAAAAUUGUAACUUCCAAUUUUUCCAGUAAUAUCAAGUUAUUU
rnacentral:lncRNA from 1 species